UAUGGAACAUUGGUCGUGUAUCCCUCCGCCACUGCUAUUUCUGCGAUUUUUGCUACUUCCGCGAUUUCUGCUACUUCUGAGAUUUCUGUGACUUCUGCGAUUGCUGUGAUUCCUGCGACUUACCACCGUAUGAAAAAGGUACAUCUGUCAACACAGAAAAUUGCAUGUCAACAAACCUGUCUUUGGCAAGUACCUGAACUACAUUUCAGUCACUCAGUAAAGUGAUAACUCAAAAUAUCAUUGUCAACAGAUCUGAAGAAAUUGCCACUGCGUCUUUAGACCGUUUUCGUCAGACGAGAGACACACUUCUGACCCUGAUUACUGGUUGCUGUACGUAUCUAUCCACAUCAAGGCUGUUUUUGAGAGAGACUCGUGAAGAUUCAAGACAGCUCUUAGAGGAUUUGCAGUUUAAAAGUGAAAUAAUUGUGAAAUAAGUGUGUGAAUGAUUAAACUGUGUUUUAUUGAAGUUGUUGUGCGAUUUUAAAGGAAUAAUAAAUGUCAA